UUUGUACUACAGAUAUGUUCAAAGUUUUCGAUGAGUAAUGACAUUUUGGGUUUUUAACGCUCCUAAAUGAAACAAUAGUUAAACAUGUAUUUUUUAUUUUGCAUAUUUUUAAAAAAUUAAAAUGAAGUUAAGACUCUCUUUGCUUAUAAACUACUCUUAAUUACUACUAAUAUAACAAUUUCAUCACCAAAAGAUAUACAGAAUUAAUUCUUGAAAUAGAUUUUUUGCUAAUCCCGAUUAUUAAUAUUAAUUACUGAUCGCAUUGCUUUCAGGUACGUUUAUGACGUCCAGCUUCUGUUUUCUUCAGUUUGUCUUCAUUUUAUUGGUCCAUUCUCGUCUAUCGGAUAACCAAUCAAGUCAACCUGAAACAUUUCAACUCGGGAUAAACCUUUCCCGAAAGUUAGGUUUUUCCAUAGCUAAAAUCUCUUUUUCAAAUGGAUGGGAGUCAUAUCCCGUUCAAAACAGUGAUGCUUGAUAAUUUGAUGCUCCAUAUUAUCGUAACAAUUUUGACAACCUCUAGUUUAAAGUACUGUGGGACAUGAUGAAAUACAUUGUCGGAAAUUUGUCAUUAGUGAAUUUUUUAUACACAAUUACAUCAGAUGUUGUCUCCAUGUACGUGUUUCAUAAUAAUUUUAGAAAUGAGGUAAAUUUUGUGACAUAUUUCCAUAUAAAUUAAUAAUUAAGGAAAUUCCGUUUACAUGCUUUUUUCAAAAUAAAAAAAUGUGCGUUGACCACCGACAUUUAACACCAUUUAAAUGUUGCCUUUAUAUGCAUAUGAUACCACAGUCUUUUAUCAUUUUGUUAAAAAAAUCAUUUUCCAACUACAUGUACAGCUGUACAUGCCAAAAGUAUUGGUUUUGGUUGAAAAAUUUUUGAAAUAUUCAAAAUGUUCGCUUUUUUUCUGGGACAAUCCUAGCGCCUCAUACAUAGUUAUAUAUUUAUUUUAACUUUUGACCCAUUAAGGGACUCUCUAAAUCCGCAUAUAGUAUUUUUUAAUUACCCGUAAUUGUUUUAAAGCAAGAGUUAGGUUUUUUUGCUAGACUGGCAGUUCGAAAAUGUUAAAUCUAGUUGAUUAAUAGGAAGGGUUCGGUGGCUGCAACUUGGUAGCAGAGGAUGAUUUUUGCUCCUCAGAGGCACCAGAUCGUACCUUCAAAAUUUCUGGUGGUUUAUGCUUCUGUCCUUACCCCAUCGCCAUCAAUCAUUUUCGCUAUCUUUUACUCUGCGAACGUAGAUUUGAAAGAUAAAAUAGAUGUAUUAAAGCUCGAAUACUCAUUAAAUACUACAAAAUAUAAGAGUUCGUAUAUCUAAAAUUAUUAUACAUCCAACAAUUAAAAUGGGUCCAAAUUAAGGAGAAAUUAUUUAUCACAUAAAUACGUAUAAGUGGCUUAGCAUACAGCCAAACAACUAUUUGCCUGUUUAAAUACAUUAUGAUAGAAUAUUUAUUUGGUUAUAUUAUUAUUUUUACUUGGUAUAAAUCCAUCCAUGGAACCAUGUCUUUCACAAGAUGUUGAAUUUCAGAGUAUUAGUUUAUAAUUAGCUUCAAUGAAUUUAAUCUUACAAAUUGUUCAUCCAUGAAAUGCAGUUAAAAAGAAAUAAAAUAAAAUCUUAGAAUUAAAGCUCAAGUUUUUAUUUCGCGAAAAUACGAGUUUACAGUAAUCAGUAAAUUUGCAAUGUGUUAAAUGCAUAUGUUUUACAGUAACGAAUUAUCAUGUUCUGAUGACUUGUUACAUUUUUUUCAGAGUUUUCCGAAGAGGCGAAGAAAGAAGAAAGAGAAAUUCAAAAAUUUGGCUGCAAGUGAAAAUACUGAAAGUACCGUUACAUUUUCCGUUUUGAACCCUUCCAGUAUAAACGCCCUCUGUAAAUGCUUUACUUUGGACGAGGCGGGUCUAUUCGCCUUAUAGAUGGGCCUCCCGGUCUCCAUAAAGCAGGAACUCUUUGAAGCAGAAAAUCCUGCCAAAGAAUUGACCUUUAGAUUGCUACGUUUGUUGGGAGGAUCAAAGCAUAGUAGAGUAAGAAUCAGAAAAAUCCAUAAAGGAUUAAUGAUCAUCAACAGAAAAGAUCUGGCU